rnacentral:tRNA from 1 species
GGGAAUGUGGCUUAAUGGUAGAGUGCUUGCCUACCAUGCAUGAAGCCCUGGGUUCGAUUCCUCAGUACCA